GUGCUCACUUCGACAGCACAUAAGCUAAAAUUGGAAUGAUACAGAGAUUAGCAUGGAGCAAGCACAAGAAUAAUUGGCAAAUUCCUGAAGUGUUCCAUAUUUUU